CUAGCAUUGUCUCUCGGAAAAAGUAGUGUUUUUGUGGCAAUAUACCAUUGGUACACUUGAAUUGACUUGUAAACUUUCCUUUGGAUUUGAAGGCCUUUCUUUGUCUUCAUACCUGAAGUGUGAGUUUUUGGUGCAUGUCUAGGUUUGAGAAGCAUUUUGGGAAGAUGGCCAAUGGUUCCUUAUGCGCGACAAGGGCAAUGCAACAUGAAUUGGCACAAAACUGGGGAAUUAAGUAAGAUGGGUCUUCUGAAAGUUUGCAAUAGCCUCCAUUCUGCUUGUUCAAAUUUAUUAUUAAGCCGUUUAAUGGUACAUUUUUUGUUUUCUUCCAUGUUUUAAAUUUGUAGUGCUGCAGUUCUUUAUGACUAGCCUCCUGAGUUUUUAUUGAAUUGGUUGAUUGCUUAUAUUUGGAUCAGUGUCUUGCCAACAAACUGCUUAAACUUAUUAUAGGUCAAGGCUAGCUAAUUUUCCUGGUUUGGCUGCACCUGAUGGAAUGGAUACAUUAUAUUUGGCAUGAUUUUUUUUUUAAAUUAAUGUGCAUCCUCAUAAGUGGAUGCAUUGAAGUAACUAUAUUCCUAUUGUAUUCAAACUAGUUGAUAUUCAUUAUUUUUGGAAUCUUUGCAGAUUACUGACUUGCCAUUUUCUCUAUAUUCAACAUUUGUCAUUGAGGCCCUCCAUGGUUUCAUCAAAUAACAGCAAACAAUAUGGUUAUUCAUUAGGGACAUGAUUAAAGGAAUCAUCCUAGCAACUAUAAUUGGACCGCCUAUUGUCGCAGCAAUUAUUGUAAUAGUACAGAAAGGAAGUCCUUGGCCAUCUAUCUUUGGGGGUUUCUGCUUGUACUAUCUCUUGUGAUGAUGACUGUCUUCCAGAUGGAGAACUCUGCAUGGUUGAGAAGCUAUUUAUUCACUACGUGGUCAGAUCUUAUCUUGGGUUAUUUGAACAGGUUUACUGUCAAUAAGUUGCGUUGACUGUUUAUUUGAAUAGGUUUACCGUCAAUAAGUCGGUGAUUCAUUAGAGCGAUUUCGAAGUUCUCUCUCGAAAUUGAAAUCGAAGUUCAUCUCAGUGAUUCAUAUCGGUUGGAACUAUUAUUGGGCUUCUGGCCUUGACAGGACUGGUAGUCUUUAUGCUUUUCUUUCUGGCAGCAGCUGUCAAUGCCAUUAUAAUUUCUCUUCUCGUGUCUUUAGCUGUGGCAGGGGGCUUCUUGGCUCUUUUCUUUGCCUAUGUGACAGCAAUUUACAUC